GUGCUCACUUUGACAGCACAUAUACUACAACUGGAACAAUACAGAGAUUAGCAUGGACCCUGUGCAAGGAUGACACAAAAAUUCAUGAAGCAUUCCAUAUUUUU
rnacentral:snRNA from 1 species